rnacentral:rRNA from 1 species
CCUACGGGCGGCAGCAGUGAGGAAUAUUGGUCAAUGGGCGAGAGCCUGAACCAGCCAAGUCGCGUGAGGGAGUACUGCCCUAUGGGUUGUAAACCUCUUUUGUCGGGGAGCAAAAGCCGGACGUGUCCGGCUGUGAGAGUACCCGAAGAAAAAGCAUCGGCUAACUCCGUGCCAGCAGCCGCGGUAAUACGGAGGAUGCAAGCGUUAUCCGGAUUUAUUGGGUGUAAAGGGUGCGCAGUCGGAUUUUUAAGUCAGCGGUAAAAUCGUGGGGCUCAACCCCGUCCAGCCGGUGAAACUGGGGAUCUAGAGGGAGUGAGAGGUAAGCGGAAUGCGUGGUGGAGCGGUGAAAUGCAUAGAUAUCACGCAGAACCCCGAUUGCGAAGGCAGCAUACCGGUGCACAACUGACGCUGAGGCACGAAAGCGCGGGUAUCGAACAGGAUUAGAUACCCCAGUAGUC